GACGAACGCUGGCGGCGUGCCUAAUACAUGCAAGUAGAACGCACAGUUUAUACCGUAGCUUGCUACACCAUAGACUGUGAGUUGCGAACGGGUGAGUAACGCGUAGGUAACCUGCCUGGUAGCGGGGGAUAACUAUUGGAAACGAUAGCUAAUACCGCAUAAUAUUGAUUAUUGCGUGAUAAUUGAUUGAAAGAUGCUAUUGCAUCACUACCAGAUGGACCUGCGUUGUAUUAGCUAGUAGGUGAGGUAACGGCUCACCUAGGCGACGAUACAUAGCCGACCUGAGAGGGUGAUCGGCCACACUGGGACUGAGACACGGCCCAGACUCCUACGGGAGGCAGCAGUAGGGAAUCUUCGGCAAUGGACGAAAGUCUGACCGAGCAACGCCGCGUGAGUGAAGAAGGUUUUCGGAUCGUAAAGCUCUGUUGUAAGAGAAGAACGGGUGUGAGAGUGGAAAGUUCACACUGUGACGGUAUCUUACCAGAAAGGGACGGCUAACUACGUG
rnacentral:rRNA from 1 species